rnacentral:rRNA from 1 species
GAAAGUAAAAAAGGGCGCAUGGCGGAUGCCUUGGCUCUCGGAGGCGAUGAAGGACGUGAUAAGCUGCGAUAAGCUUUGGGGAGGUGCAAAUGACCUUUGAUCCAGAGAUUUCCGAAUGGGACAACCCAAUAUCUUGAAGAGGUAUUAUCCAACGUUGUUGGAGGCUAACGCAGGGAACUGAAACAUCUUAGUACCUGCAGGAAAAGAAAAUAAACAAUGAUUCCCCCAGUAGUGGCGAGCGAACGGGGAACAGCCCAAACCAUCCAUGUUACGGCAUGGGUGGGGUUGUAGGACUACGUCGUUGCAUGAAGACAUCAGAGAAGAACUUUCUGGAAAGAAAGACCAUAGAGCAUGACAGUUGCGUAUUCGAAUGUUGUCGAAGCAUAGUAGUAUCCUGAGUAGCGCGGAGCACGAGGAAUUCUGCGUGAAUCUGCCGGGACCAUCCGGUAAGGCUAAAUACUCCCGAGAGACCGAUAGCGAACCAGUACCGUGAGGGAAAGGUGAAAAGCACUUCGAACAGAAGAGUGAAAUAGUUCCUGAAACCGUGCGCCUACAAGCGGUCGGAGCUCGUUAAUGAGUGACGGCGUGCCUUUUGCAUAAUGAACCUACGAGUUGCCUUUGCCGGCAAGGUUAAGUGUGACGACACACGUAUCCGAAGCGAAAGCGAGUCUGAAUAGGGCGUAUAGUCGGCAGUGGCAGACGCGAAACCAAGUGAUCUACCCUUGGCCAGGUUGAAGGCUGGGUAACACCAGCUGGAGGACCGCACCAAUAAGCGUUGAAAAGCUUCUGGAUGAGCUGAGGGUAGGGGUGAAAGGCUAAUCAAACUUGGAGAUAGCUCGUACUCCCCGAAAUGCAUUUAGGUGCAGCCUUGCGGGUUACUGAUGUGAGGUAGAGCGACUGAUAAGAUGCGAGGGCUUCACCGCCUAUCAAGUCUUGACAAACUCCGAAUGCGCAUCAGUUCUACCGCAGGAGUGAGGGCAUGGGUGCUAAGGUCCGUGCCCGAGAGGAGAAGAAUCCGGACCACCUGCUAAGGUCCCGAAAUGACAGCUAAGUUAAACUAACGAAGUCUGACUGCUAAGACAGCUAGGAUGUUGGCUUGGAAGCAGCCAUUCAUUUAAAGAGUGCGUAACAGCUCACUAGUCGAGGAGUCGGGCGUGGAUAAUAAUCGGGUAUCAAGUUGUCUACCGAAGCAGUGGGAUCAUUGAUAUGAUCGGUAGGGGAGCAUUCCAGUCAGCGUCGAAGGCGUACCGUGAGGUAUUCUGGAGCGUCUGGAAAAGCAAAUGUAGGUAUAAGUAACGAUAAAGGGGGCGGGAAACCCCCUCGCCGAAAGACUAAGGUUUCCUGAUCAACGCUAAUCGGAUCAGGGUCAGUCGGGUCCUAAGGCUCAGCCGAACGGCGAUGCCGAUGGCAGAAACGGUUAAUAUUCCGUUACUACCUUCAGGAGUGACGUGGAGACGCAGUAGUGACAGUGCCGCCAUCUGACGGAAUAGAUGGUUGAAGGGUGUAGGAGUCGAUCAUGGCAGGCAAAUCCACCAUGAGAUCCGAACCUGAUAGUAUGCCGCGUCCUUCGGGACAAGGCAAUAGUGCGCGUAAGCAUGCUGCCGAGAAAAUCCGCUAAACUUAAUCCUGCAGGUACCCGUACCGCAAACGGACACACGUAGUCGGGAUGAAUAUUCUAAGGCGCUUGAGUGAUUCACGGUUAAGGAACUAGGCAAACUGACCCUGUAACUUCGGGAUAAAGGGUCCCUACCCUUUUAUGGGAGGGCGCAGAGAAUCGGUCCAGGCAACUGUUUAACAAAAACACAGGGCUGUGCCAAAUCGAAAGAUCCAGUAUACAGCCUGACACCUGCCCGGUGCUGGAAGGUUAAGAGGAGAUGUCAUCGAUAAGAGAAGCGUUGAAUUGAAGCCCCAGUAAACGGCGGCCGUAACUAUAACGGUCCUAAGGUAGCGAAAUUCCUUGUCGGGU